UUUAGAUUAUGUACCGAAGUGUAAAUAUUUAUUUCUUGUUUACAUGCUACGUCAUCGCUAUCAUCGUCGACGCGCUUUGUUUUCGUUUAAUAUAUUAUGUACCUCUAGCAGACAGAUCUUUCAACUUCUCACUUUCUCUCUCUCUCUCUUUUCCUCUCAUUCAAUUACUCUAUAGUGGUAUGAGAUACAUAUAGAAUUGUACAUAGACAUUCUUUGGUGAGCAAGGGAAACUAAAGUUGAGAUAAUGCCAACAUUCAAAGCUGACAUUUCGAUUAAUUUUAUUUAGUUUUUGUUUCGUAAAAUAAAAAACUCGGCUAAGAAGUUUAUUUUUUUAAAAGUUGUAAGUUGUACCUACAAUAUUUUGACUUGACAUUUCCGAUAAAUUUUUAUUUUAAUGUGCUAUGGCAAAAUAUUGAUUUCUUUCUAGAUAUUCAAAAAAGAACAAAACAAGAUGGAUGCCUUUCUACGAAAACUGCACACCCAUUCUUCAUAUACAUAGUUUGGCUCAUAAUUCUUUGGUCUCCAAUUUUUCCCACGCUCAAUCAUCGUCUUACUUGCAACAACAAAAAACUAACACGCAAUUGUAGGAGACGGAGAGCUAUGCGAGUAUCAGUUGCUCGGUGAACAAUUCGAAGCCUCUUAUCUCUUGUGUAAACUAUUAAUUAAUCCUUCUUUAAACUUGCUUUUAAACUAAAUUCAUUUUAUCUUUUAACUAAGUUCGAUAUGUAUUUAUAAUUAAUAUUAAAAUAUUUUGAUAAAUAAUAAAAUAAAAAUAUAGUAACGAUAUCAUGGCAAAAAAGCUCUCAAAAGCUCUUAGGUUCAUUGUCAUGCAAGUCAACAACGAUUUAAAGAAAACCACAAAUAAAUAACACCACCAGUGAGAAACAAUGUUUCAGUAGAUAAUUUAUGUCAAUAUUAAUUUUGACGAAUCUCAUAUAACAUAUUCAUCAAAAGAAGAAGCUGCGAUGACGGAGACAUAUCACUACGCUGCUCAAAACUUGAUUACAUUUAAAUAGUACACCAAAGUUAUCUAAUGUACCUUCAUAAGUUCCAACCAUUAAGAUAUCGAAUCGAAGGCAUGUCAAAUUUUUAAAUAUCAUAAGAUACAUUUUGGUAAUUCGUCAAAAUUUGACAGCAUCUAAAUGAAUUCGAAGACCGUAUACCAACAGCAAAAACAACAACAACAAAAUAACAUUGGGCGUAAGCUUUAGCUUGAGUGACGCAGUUAGGUUGUACAUAAUGAACACUCAAUCAGUGGAACGAUUAUUUUUUAUACGAAUAAUGUAGAUACAAAUAUAUUCGGCUAUUCGACAUAUUAUUGUUUAAAUAAUAUUUAGGAUGUCUUAUUACAUACAAUUAGUUUAAUGACAUAAUUUCAAUAGACUUAAGAUAUUCUCUGUUAAUUUUUUGUUCUCUAAAAAUGGAUCUUUUUUCCAACUUGUCUUCUCUUUCAUACAAGCUACAUUUUGUAUCUUUUUAUACUUAGCUAUGACGAUGAAAUAUACUUUUUACAAAACAUGUAAAGUUCAAACUACAAGGUAAGGUGUUUACAUACCUACAUAAACAGGAAUUUGGAACUUUUUGGGUUUUGGUAGAAUUGUAUGAUUAUGAUUUGAUAUAUUUUGGAAUAUAUGUAUACAGAGUAACUAUCUAGUUAUGUUAAUAAAAUCUCUGACGAGAAUGUGCA